rnacentral:rRNA from 1 species
GUAAAGCACUUUCAGUAGGGAGGAAGGUAGUGUAGUUAACACCUGCAUUAUUUGACGUUACCUACAGAAGAAGCACCGGCUAACUCCGUGCCAGCAGCCGCGGUAAUACGGAGGGUGCGAGCGUUAAUCGGAAUUACUGGGCGUAAAGCGCAUGCAGGCGGCCUGUUAAGUCAGAUGUGAAAGACCCGGGGCGUUAACCUCGGAAAUUGCAUUUGAAACUGGCAGGCUAGAGUCUUGUAGAGGGGGGUAGGAAUUUCAGGUGUAGCGGUGAAAUGCGUAGAGAUCUGAAGGAAUACCAGUGGCGAAGGCGGCCCCCUGGACAAAGACUGACGCUCAGAUGCGAAAGCGUCGGGGAGCAAACAGGAUUAGACUACCCUGGUAG